GGAAGCAGGACUCUACAUGAGGCUGAGGCCGAUUGUAAAUGGAUAUCAGAUCGAAUUGAUCUGUUAACACAUGUGAAACUAGACCCAAGAAAAAGCCGAGGGUUUUUGAGGGUGAUUUUAUUGAAAGAGGAUGGUUACUGGUCACCAUACCUCAACUUUGGAAGUGCUAUAAAAGGUCUGAUCGUUAGAUUAUUCUGACGACGGCCUGCACUUGUGACUGAUCUAUCAACUUUGUUUGUGGUGCCUUUGACUAAAAAGGUUUUAACGGAUAACGAGGGAUCAGGGUUUGACGUCGGAGAGGAGGCCUGAGACAUUGCCUCCACUUCCAAGGAAGGCAGCAGGAGCGAAAAAUACACAAUGACACAUCGUCGAUGUUGUGACGAGAAAUAACAGAAACGGGUACUUAUAGUAACGUUAUCUGUGAUGAGAACAAUUUAAAACCAUUAACUAGUAGCCAUGAGAGGGCAAGUCUGGUGCCAGCAGCCGCGGUAAUUCCAGCUCUUAGAGUGUAUAUGAAUGUUGUUGUAGUUAAAAAGCACAUAGCUGAUGUUGUUGUAUCAGCCAAAUAACAGUAGAUCUUGAUGUCGAAUGUAGUUGUCUUGAAACACGGAAAAAUUAUUAGAUUGCAAGCGGCUUGGAAACAAGAGCGCGGCCCACCGGUUUAACUCAGGCCGGUGGAUUGAUGAUAGAGAUUGACUUUGAACAAAUUAGAGUGUUUAAAACAAGCUUAUAAAGCUUUGAAUAUAUUAGCAUAGCAUCACUAAAUAUGAUUGAGACCCAAUGGAAGCCCAGUAAACCUAUGUGUUUUGGGGGGUCACGGUAAUGAGAGAUAGAAAUUGAUGGGGCGAUCUUUAUUAGCUGGGAAGGGGUGAAAUCCUAUGAUCCAGUUAAGAAACACUAAUGCGAAGGCACUUUGCCAAGAUGUUUUUAUUAGUCAAGUACGAAAGUUGAGGGCGCGAAGAUGAUUAGAUACCAUCGUAGUCUCAACAGUAAACAAUGUUAAUUUAGGAUAUGGGAUCAUUUAUUAUGACUUCCCAUGGAUUAUACGAGAAAUCUAGAAUAUUCGAACUCUAGGGGUAGUAUAGUCGCAAGACCGAAACUUAAAAGAAUUGACGGAAGAGCACCACCAGGCGUGGAACCUGCGGCUUAAUUUGACCCAACGCGGGAAAGCUCACCAGGGCAAGACAUUAAAAGGAUUGACAGAUUGAUAGCUCUUUCAUGAUAUAAUGAAAGGUGGCGCAUGGCCGUUUUUAGUUGGUGGUUUGAAUUGUCUGGUUAAUUCCGAUAACGUAACAAGACCUUUUCCUGCUAUUUAGCAUAGGAGGGUCUCAUAAAGAUUGGGAAGGUUCACUUUAUUAGUCGUCUUGAGAAUCCCAGAUCUAAGCUUCUUAGAGGUACGC
rnacentral:rRNA from 1 species